UUCUUCACCUUGGAUGGUUUCAGGCGGUACUGCUUUGCACCAUCUUCCACCAGCUGGACGCGGUCCGCAUUUUCGUUAUAAUGCAAGAUUGCUAGUUGUGUUCUGACAAGAAACAAUGCAUAUUGCUUGUGAUUUCACCUUGCUAGCUUCUUUCUCUAUAACAUCAUAACCUUCAAGUGCUAUUAUUACCUCGCACGCAUUCCAGCAUCUGAGAAGCCAUGUGUUUUUGGCAGAAAAUGAAGGAGAACGCUAUGAAAUGCUUCCAGGCAAAAUGUCUGAUUUGUAGAUGACAGCAUCGGAAUGUCUUUCAGAAGUGUAGGAGCCAUCAGUAUAUCAUGCACGCGCAUAUUUUCAAUUGCUCACCUUCCUUCAGCCAUUCCCUUGGUGGGGACACUGGCCCGUGGUAGCAGACAGGGUACUGAGGGUCUUCGUGUUGAUGGACGUCAACGAUAUCGUUCAUCAAGGACACCCAUUUAGCCCGGCACAGUUCACCAUCAUCCCCACUGGUUUUGGGGCACCAGUAGGCAUGCCGAACUAUACUCUCGAUCCACAGCUGCACCACCUGAUGCUUUGCUGUGCGACCGAGAGCAAGAAGUUUCUUCUUGAUACCUGUUAUAAGCACACAUGUAAAAUUUUUCUGUAAGCUUC